AACAAACGCUGGCGGCGUGCCUAACACAUGCAAGUCGAACGCGAAAGGGGCUUCGGCCCUGAGUAAAGUGGCGCACGGGUGAGUAACGCGUGGGUAAUCUGCCUCUCAGUUGGGAAUAACCCAUCGAAAGGUGGGCUAAUACCGAAUAAUGCUGUGUCACCCCGGUGAUCCAGCCAAAGACGGCCUCUGCUUGCAAGCUGUCGCUGAGAGAUGAGCCCGCGUACCAUUAGCUUGUUGGUGGGGUAAUGGCCUACCAAGGCGACGAUGGUUAGCUGAUCUGAGAGGAUGAUCAGCCACACUGGAACUGAGACACGGUCCAGACUCCUACGGGAGGCAGCAGUGAGGAAUCUUGCGCAAUGGGGAAACCCUGACGCAGCAACGCCGCGUGAGUGAGGAAGGCCUUCGGGUCGGUAACUCCUUUCGUCGGGGACGGAUUGUGACUGUACCCGCCGAAUCAGGCUCGGCUAACUCUGUGCCAGCAGCCG
rnacentral:rRNA from 1 species